GGCAGAUAAAACAGAAGAAUUUGCGUUUUUAAUAAAAAAACUGUCAUUUCGUUGUUCGUAAACUAGAGAUAUCUUUGUUGUAAAACUGAAUAAUAACUUAUUUAAACAAUGAGAUGGUAUGGAUUUAUUCAACCAGGUAUUGUAUUCAGUAGAACAAUGAACGCCAGAGAAGUGACCAAGACGACGCAAUAAAAUAUAAGCGAGGAAAUUACUUUGUCAAACUUGAAGAUAAAAUAUGAAAUAUGCCUUCAGUUUUCACCGCGUACAUGUACAGUACAGUACACUGUACGGCCUGUGCUCGUAAAUAUUCGCUCGGGUGUCAAAAGCUCGCGUUUACGACGCCGCCGCACCUGCGCGCCUCUCAUUAAUAAAUCGGGCGCUUGUAUGCCGAUGAGCCUUGCGACCUUGAACUCACGAUCACGUUACACUGUUUACAGAGAUGUUGAAUUUAAAGUAAUGACUUACAAAUGCAAGAUUUUAUAAGCUAGCAGAUGAUGUGUAACUAUAAACUCGUUAAUAAGCAAAUCAACUUAAUUUGGGAAAAUCUUAAUAUAAAUUUAUCGAUUUAUUUUCACAUGUAGUAAAAGAUAGUAUGCUUAAGUAUGCUAGGUUAUGAAGGAUCUUCCCACCAAUAAACUUUUAUUUCACCUUCA